UAGAUAUUGCAACCCAGAAGUGCUGCAAAAAGUAGAUGCAUUUAUCACUAUCAUUCAAAUUCAUAUAUUCUUAGCAUAUAUGUGUCCUAAUUGCAUUUUCAAAUUGCAAAUCUACAUAUUUCAGAAUACCCAGUUUCCACUCUUCAGACCUUCAUGGAUAGUAUCACCAACAUAAUAAAAUUUUGCACUUACUGUUGAAGAUCUCCAACAUAAUAAAAUUACCCCACAUCAUAAAAAAGGUAAGGCAUUUUUUCCACGUGAACAAAAUAGAGCAAUAAUAGCAUGCACACAAUAAACAUCAUAAAUCCAUUAAUAAAGGAAAGCAAAGCAAUUGCUUGUGACCUAUACCACAAGAUAAUCCUAGAUGGCACAAGAACUUUCCAUGAAGUAAUUGUCUUGGUUGUUCACCUCGACAAAAAAAAUAAAAAUAAAAAUGGAAGGCUUUAAUAAAAACCACUAAUAUACACCUGACCUAUCAUACUUAAAAUGACACAGAAGUUCAAAUUUUACAAAAAUUUAAGUUAGACCAUUAAAAACCUGAGAGGCCCAUUUGCAUUCAAAAUCACCAACCCCUCCUACUUCUUCUUCUUCUUCUUCAACAA
rnacentral:misc_RNA from 1 species